rnacentral:rRNA from 1 species
GACGAACGCUGGCGGCGUGCCUAAUACAUGCAAGUAGAACGCUGAAGCUUGGUGCUUGCACCGAGCGGAUGAGUUGCGAACGGGUGAGUAACGCGUAGGUAACCUGCCUGGUAGCGGGGGAUAACUAUUGGAAACGAUAGCUAAUACCGCAUAAGAGUAGAUGUUGCAUGACAUUUGCUUAAAAGGUGCAAUUGCAUCACUACCAGAUGGACCUGCGUUGUAUUAGCUAGUUGGUGAGGUAACGGCUCACCAAGGCAACGAUACAUAGCCGACCUGAGAGGGUGAUAGGCCACACUGGGACUGAGACACGGCCCAGACUCCUACGGGAGGCAGCAGUAGGGAAUCUUCGGCAAUGGACGGAAGUCUGACCGAGCAACGCCGCGUGAGUGAAGAAGGUUUUCGGAUCGUAAAGCUCUGUUGUAAGAGAAGAACGAGUGUGAGAGUGGAAAGUUCACACUGUGACGGUAUCUUACCAGAAAGGGACGGCUAACUACGUG